GGUUCUGAGACUCUGCCAUGGACCGAACUUCGGCAACAUAUGCAUACUUGUUUGGCUGCCUCUUCUUGAACACAUAAACAUGAUUGGUGCUCAUCUUCUCCUGAGCAAUCAGAACUUUUUCACUUCCAUUGAUAAUGAAAUAUCCACCCUGAUCAUAAGGACACUCCCCAAGCUCUGUCAGAUCUUUCUCUGAAUUCUGGUAC
rnacentral:misc_RNA from 1 species